rnacentral:lncRNA from 1 species
AUGGUAAUGAAGAAGAAAGAUAAUGUGUCUUUAUCUUCAACUCUCAAGGAGACCAAAGAAGCCUGGGGAGCCUCAGGGGCAGAAAGUCCCUCCUUGAACAACUUUGAUGUAUCCUUGACAUCCAUCUACAGCUUCACUGAUGACCUAGGCUACCAAGGGAGCCAGGACUUGACCAGCGAAGAAGAUCCCAAACUUGCUCAGUCCAAGAGGCCAAAGCGGAACAAGGCUGCCAUUGUCCGGAUGAGGAGAAACAAGGUGAAGGAGGAAGAUGAGGAGGAUGAGGACGACGAGGCAGAGGAGUCCUCUGCUUCUCUGCGAUCUCCUAGGAUGAGACGGAAGCAAUACCCAUACUCAAGAACCUGCCAACUGAGGCAAAAGGAGCACUUGAACACCUUGGAAAGUAGCUCGAGCAUACUCACUCUCAAGACCCAGUCGUCCCGCUGGAGUUUGGCCGAGUUGCGUCAAUACUUGUGUAGCUGCUGCCGCAGGAGGAAGAAGUCGGUGGAGGAAAAGAAGGCUUUGGACCCCGAAAAAAGGAGGGACCCAAAGGAGAAUGGCCCAGUCCCGGGCUCUGUUAGUGAGCAACGGGUGCAAGGGGCUCCUGGGGGCACGCCUGGGGAAGAUUUGGGCAGAAGCCAGGAGAACAGAGAGUGUAAUCUCUCAGCUUGUAAAUAAAGCAAACUUUAUUUUUGUGAAUGGUAUGUAUGAGCCUGAUGAUUCCAGGUUUUUAUCUUUCUUUCCUGAUUUUUUUUCAGUAGAUAUAUCAGUUUAAGGCCACAUCCCAUAUUUAUGUUGCCAUUUCACUUUUCUCAUCCUGAGUAAAGGAGAAAAGGGGCCCUUUCCCCCCGGAGCCCCCAACCCCUCCCCCUUCCUCACAUACAC